CCAUCCGCUAAGGUCCCCAAGUACUGAUUAAGUGGGAAAGGAUGUGUCACUGCACAAACAACCAGGAUGUUGGCUUAGAAGCAGCCAUACAUUUAAAGAGUGCGUAAUAGCUCACUGGUCGAGUGGUGGUGCGCCGAAAAUGAACGGGGCUAAAAUCAGGCACCGAAGCGAUGGAUUGUACCGCAAGGUACAGUGGUAGGGGAGCAAUCUCUUAGGGGCGAAGCCAUUUCGUAAGGGAUGGUGGACUUAAGAGAAGAGAGAAUGUUGGCAUGAGUAGCGAAAGUGAAGUGAGAAUCUUCACCAUCGAAAGCCCAAGGUUUCCUGAGGAAGGCUCGUCCGCUCAGGGUUAGUCGGGGCCUAAGCCGAGGUCAAAAGACGUAGGCGAUGGACAACUGGUUGAAAUUCCAGUACUACCUCAAAGCGUUUGAGAAAUGGAGUGACACAGAAGGAUAAGCGAACCCGGCCGUUGGAAGAGCCGGGGCAAGCAGUAAGGCUGCAGCGGGAGGCAAAUCCCCCAUUGCAAAAGGCUAAGCUGUGAUGCGGAACGAAAAAUAAGUAGGGAAGUCGCCGAUUUCACGCUGUCAAGAAAAGCUUCUAUCGAGCUGCGAGGUACCCGUACCGUAAACCGACACAGGUAGGCGAGGAGAGAAUCCUAAGAUGAGCGGGAGAAGUGUUGUUAAGGAACUCGGCAAAAUGACUCCGUAACUUCGGGAGAAGGAGUGCCCCUUCGGGGGCCGCAGAGAAGAGGCUCAAGCGACUGUUUAGCAAAAACACAGGUCUCUGCUAAAUCGAAAGAUGACGUAUAGGGGCUGACGCCUGCCCGGUGCUGGAAGGUUAAGGGGAGUGCUUAGCGUAAGCGAAGGUGCGAACUUAAGCCCCAGUAAACGGCGGCCGUAACUAUAACGGUCCUAAGGUAGCGAAAUUCCUUGUCAGGUAAGUUCUGACCCGCACGAAAGGCGUAACGAUUUGAGCGCUGUCUCGACAACACACCCGGUGAAAUUGUAGUACUCGUGAAGAUGCGAGUUACCCGCGACAGGACGGAAAGACCCCGUAGAGCUUUACUGUAGUCUGGCAUUGAGUUUUGAUAUAACAUGUACAGGAUAGGUGGGAGGCAGAGAAGCAUGCACGCCAGUGUGUGCCGAGCCAUUGUUGGGAUACCACUCUUGUUAUAUUGGAAUUCUAACGCGUUGCCGUUACCCGGCAAGCGGACAGUGUCAGAUGGGCAGUUUGACUGGGGCGGUCGCCUCCUAAAAAGUAUCGGAGGCGCCCAAAGUUACCCUCAGGAUGGUUGGAAACCAUCUGUAAGAGUGCAAAGGCAGAAGGGUGAUUGACUGCGAGAGAGACAUCUCGAGCAGAGACGAAAGUCGGGCUUAGUGAUCCGGUGGUUCCGAGUGGAAGGGCCAUCGCUCAACGGAUAAAAGCUACCUCGGGGAUAACAGGCUUAUCUCCCCCAAGAGUCCACAUCGACGGGGAGGUUUGGCAC
rnacentral:rRNA from 1 species